GGCUUAUUUUCCGUAACCAUGCAAGGGAUUGCAGAGAAAGAGUCAUAGAGAAGCGGCCAACACCCAGCUUCCACUGCUUUGCCUCAUCGGCCCAACCUUAUGUGCUGAGACCUUGCUGAAGCUCCUACAAGCACAAGUGGGCUCAUUCUUUUUCAUCUGCGAUGUUUUCCUCCAUCUACCAUCUUUUGCUUAAAAAAGGGGGGGGGGCAAGUGAGUAUUCACCACGAAACUAUUUGAUUUUGUUCAGUCCUGACAGGUCCUCUGUAACCAAACAGAAUUACAGGGACUCUGCCUACCCCAGGCAGACCCAGCAUCAGGUCAGCUAUAAUUGGCACCUGGUGAGAGGUCACGAAACACGGGCUGUGGGAGCAAGUGCAUUAAGGGCUCGGUGACAGCAGUUGCCAUGCGUUUCUGAGUGCUGUCAAGCAGGAUCUUCAAUCACAGUGUGCUUUGUGCUCUGCAUUCUAAAAAUGGAAAUGAAACCACCAGCUCCUCCCCAGACUGUGAGGCUUGAUGGACGCGAGCUUAAUGAACCCAGGAUAAAGGAAUUAGCCCAAGCAGAAGGCAGAAAAAGCAUUAAGAGACUCCCUCGGACCGUCAACCCCCUUCUGGUAUCCUCGGCCACACCAUGUCCCCAGAUGUACUGCUUCUUUCUAGAAUUAACAAAAAAGUCUGAGAAGCUAAAUUUAACUUGCAUACCCUGGAAAAACGGUAAACUUCAGGUCACCAAGCCCAGCAUCUCACAGGUGUCUUACCCAACAACAGCCCUCUGCUUCUAACCACACAAAGGGGCCCAGGACCACACACAUUUAGGACACUGAACAUGCUUUAUCUUCUUCUUGGGGACUCCUAACCUUAACGCAUCAAAUCCUGGAGCACGGAAGACGUUUUCUUGAUGGAGGAGAGGGUCUUUCCUUCGCAGGCAGCGGCCCCGCCUCCUCCUCGUGAAACGAGCUAAUCCACGUAAGAGGACUUAAAGCGGGUUCUAUAUAAGCAAUGAGAAUCGUGCUCCCAUCAUCUCCACCUGAAAACAAGGCUCCCAGAGCACACGCGGUUGCACGGGCAGCCAGGUGUGGGCCAAACUUCCAGAAACCCCUAGGUACCAGCGAAAAGGCUGGCUGGGAAAAAGGCAGAGAUUUUCAAUCAGGCAGUUACAGGUCAGGCUCUACCUAACCUUUCUGUGUCUCCGUUAUUUCAUCAUAAGAUGAGGACUAGAUAGGCCCUUCCUCUUACGUGUGUGGCGACUCAGGGAGCAAAGAGCUCAGCAGGUGUGGGCUGUUAUCCUCAGAAGGUCAAGGGACGGCACCUGCCCAACUCAGGGCUGUGACCCCACCCAGGAAACCAUUAACUUCCCCAAAGGCAUCCCAGAAGCCAUUCUGGGGACGAGUAAAACUUCUUCAUUUAUUUGGUCCAAACAUAUUUGUAAGGUUAAUCUUCUCAUUCCUUCUGGGGUGGAGACGGGGUGUCUGUUGAAGCAGCAAUAAAGGAAGGAAUUGACUGGAUGAAAAAGCUCUG
rnacentral:lncRNA from 1 species